UCCGGCUUGUCGCCGGCGGUCCCUUUAGAGUGCCCAACUGAAUGAUGGCAACUAAAGGCGAGGGUUGCGCCCGUUGCGGGACUUAACCCAACAUCUCACGACACGAGCUGACGACAGCCAUGCAGCACCUGUCUCCGCGCCCCUUGCGGGGACCGCCCAUCUCUGAGCGUGGCACGGGAUGUCAAACCCUGGUAAGGUGGGGAUGACGUCCUCUACG
rnacentral:misc_RNA from 1 species